ACGGAGGGUGCAAGCGUUAUCCGGAAUUAUUGGGCGUAAAGGGUGCGUAGGUGGUUAUGUUAGUCGUUUGUUAAAUCUUCGGGCUUAACCCGAAACCGGCGAGCGAAACGGCAUAACUUGAGAAUGUGAGGGGUGUACAGAACUCAUGGUGUAGGGGUGAAAUCCGUUGAUAUCAUGGGGAAUACCAAAAGCGAAGGCAGUACACUGGCACAUAUCUGACACUCAAGCACGAAAGCGUGGGUAGCGAAUGGGA
rnacentral:rRNA from 1 species